rnacentral:lncRNA from 1 species
UGAGCACUUCAAUGCCUUGCUUACUUCACAGAAAUUCCUUGUCUCAUGAGAUGUCUUCUGGAGAAAGUUCAGAGGCUUCUAAUUGCAAAGUGCAACCUGCUGACGUACUGCCUUGUGCCUAGCUCAGGCUUCUGUUUGCUGGAGAGAUUCUUCUUUCUGCAUUGACGCCUUCUUCUGUGUUGUUCUUCACACUAUUACUUCUGACUCAUAGACUAAAUGUCUAUGAGAACCUGGUAAGUGCUUGUCAGUUGUAGCUUUAUGUGAUAUGACCU